UGAGGGGAUUUAUCCCCGAUGGCUGCGAAGCAGACCUGAAAUUUUGGGGCCGCUCCGCGACCCAUCGGGGAUAAAUCCCCUCA
rnacentral:antisense_RNA from 1 species